GUGCCGCGCACCCGCGCUUGUGUAAAGCGCUGGUGUGAGGGCAGAGAAAGAAGGCGGGAAUAAGGCAUCAAAAUUAUCCGUGAGGCGGCAGGGCGCGCUCCCCCUCCGUGAGAGAAGGCGGGGGCGCGCGGCUGGGCGCCUUCGCUCGCAUUGCAGAGCUUGUCAGUCCACAGUUGGCCCCGCGCGGCUCGGCGGGGCAGUGAGAAAAGCUCGGCGGCGAAGAGGUCGGCGUGUGAAAAGAAAAGCUUUAAAAGAUUACUUUGGAGCUUCUUUUGGGUCAACGUUUCCAGUGGAAUUAAGGCUAAAAAGCCUGAUCUCUGCUGAGAUCAGAGCAUCACAUCUGCAUUAGCAGCCCAGCUACAGGACUUUAGCCUGCCAGGAUUCACAGCAAUGCCACUAAUCACAAAAUGCCACACAGGCAGAAGUCACCUGCUCUGAGAGUGUGGUUUGGCUCUUGCAGCAAAUAAAGUCUCCAAUGGCAGCUCAAGCUGCCCCGCUCAGUCAACCAGCAGCUCUGCAAAGCAGAAAGGAUCUCACCUUUGGGAUCACACAGGCAAGCAGCGAAGAUGAUAAGCAACAGUCAAGAGGAGAGGAAAUAAAUUCAGUGGCACAGGAGGGCUGCCUGCUCCGGUCUGUGGAGGAGUACCAUCUGCAGCCACUGCAGUCUGCCCUGCCCCAGUUCUCCCAUCCUGCUGCUCCAGCAUGGGGCUCGCUCCCCAUUGGAGGAAACUGCCUCAAUUUUGCACUAAAAUUUCAACCAGACAAAAGACUCCCUCUUCUCAUCUCACUGCUGUGUUUUCCUCCCCCAAAACAUGGCUCUCACCCUGUCUCAGGUUACGCUUUCAGGAAGUGAGGCCCCAGCUGAGGAGGCAGGGAAGUCCCACAAGGGCUGCAGGCCACGCUUCAGCAUUAGUAUUGCUCUGCACAUUUUUACUCAUGCAUUCCUGACAGGCAGAUCUGCACAGCACCUCUUCUCAUUUACUGGGGAAAACCCUUACCAGGCAAGGCACAGACACUGCUCACUUUGGAAUAUGGUGGACUUAAAAUGGACUAUUUCCUUUUUCUCAGACUUUACGUAAAAUAAAUAUCUGAAUGAAUUCACUGCAAUGUACCCCCCCUCCCCCCAGCUCCACCAAUUCCAAGCCCCUGCCACCCAAAUGGCACACAGUUUCUGCUUUAGCAAGCGGCUCACGAUUACUAUCCAUUGUAUAACCCAUAUAAGUCCCUUUUCAUGCUGUGCAUCAUUAUACCCAAAAUCACAGGGUUGAAAAUACUGACUGUACAUUCCUUGUAGGUGUAUCCAUGGAUGAGCAGAGGAUGCGUAGAUGUGCUGCCACCAAUGUCAUAUAGGUCAUAUAUUUUUCCUCUCCUUGGUCUAAGAAGGUAUUUCCUCCUUGACCCUCCGCCUCCAACAAAAAACAAGGGGUCAUUGGCUUGAUUUCGGGAAAGAGACCACAGCAGAAAACCAAGCUCAACGUCGCUAAGCAACUACUCAUUUUCAGCUGUUUAGUGAUACAAUACAAGCAAGGCUUCCUUGUAUCAGAAAAGAUAAUUACAAGUUUAUCUCCGUGGGAAGAUACUUCAAGGAUACACUCAAAUUGUUUGUUCCUUGUGAUUGUGUAACUUACAACGGGAAUGAUCUAGUUGCUACUUUAUGUUUAAUAUAAUGUACUCAUUAAAAGUACUUCAACUUACUUGAGUAGCACUUGGAUAAAACAAGGCAUAAGAAUACCGUCUGAAAAUCUCUAAAUCUUAGACUCUUAAGCUGAAAGCCGACAACCCAUCUCCCCAUCAGUACAUAUAUUUUACUGGCAUGCAAUGGCAACCAGCUAAUUCUGCUUUGAUGCUGCUGUGUGUGUGCAUAGGUCUGUUUUUCACUAAGUUGUGUUGAUCUGAGAGUCUUUUGAGACCAGUAUCAUUAUCUCCAACUGUUCAUUGCUAUUGCACGUGGAAGCAAUUUCUGUUUUUAAUUUUCAAAUCUGUUGGCUACCACCCAGCCUCACUAAAAGUGAAGGGCAAUGUUCACCAGCUGCUUCUGCCCUUGCGGGAAUGUAACUAGAUGACCCUCUAUCGAGAAGACCAAAAAACAGUAAAUCAGGGAAGAAGACUGAUAUACAAACUUUUGUAUAACAUUGAAAAAAAAUGCAAGCAACUAACAAAAUGAACUACUACUCUAAAAACAUUUGCUGAAAUACAGAGGUGGGGAUGGGGGGGGGAGUUCAGGCUGGCAUUCACUCUGUUCCUCCUUUUCACUCCCCUUCUCCCUAGACCGUUCAUGACAAAACAUGCACAAUGCAGUCAGCAGGAUCCUUUCACUUGUGCCCUGCACUAGACUAAGGAAAAAUUAUCUGGGAAUCUGAUACAGAUAUUAUUUCUAAGUAGGACAUCAUUAAAGUAUUUAAACAGUAGGGCAAAAUAAGGCUGACACGUCUGUGGCUUAAUAUACUUUGUGAGUAGUGGGAGUGUAAUUGGUACAGCACUGUGAGAACUAGAGAAAAACUCCACCAGUCUAACUUCAUAUCCAGCACACACACAAAAAAACAACCAAUAAGCAAAUGGACAGCAUCAUAACGCCCUGAUUACAUAAUAAUAAUAGCUUAAAAAAAUACUGUG